GCCGGGCGUGGUGGCUCACACCUGUAAUCCCAGCACUUUGGGAGGCCGAGGUGGGUGGAUCACCUGAGGUCAGGAAUUCCAGACCAGCCUGGCCAACAUGGUGAAAACCCGUCUCUA
ensembl:misc_RNA Metazoa_SRP Metazoan signal recognition particle RNA